UCCAAAAAUUCAUUCCAUUUCCAUCAUGAACCGUACCUAAAAACUCACUCAAACAAGCAUGCCAUAUGUGCAUACUUAACCAUUCCAACCCAAAUCACAAGACCAAUCACAAAUACAAAUUAAAUCAUGUAUCAAGCUUACUAAAUGAGCUAUUUAUAAGUUAUUCAAAUCAUUACUUAACCAAGACAUAUAACCAAAACCCCAUUCAUACAUGUCAUGGGACAUACUUAAAACAUGCCAAACCAUAUGGACAAAUACACUUUCUAUAGUAAACCAAAAUAACCAUAGCCUAUACAUGCCAUAUAACCAAGUCACAAAGUAUAUAAAUAUCGAAAUUAUUAGCUGGAUAGUGUGAUGCAAUCUCCGUCGACUUUCAACCCGAGCGAACGUCCCAAACACUGUAAAACAUAAAAAAAAUAACACCAAGUAAGCUAUAAAGCUUAGUAAGCUCGUAAUAUAAUAACUCAUAUUACUAAAUAAUCACAUUACAAACAAUUGCAUCAAGUCAUAAUAUAGCUCAUUUGAUUUCACAAUUCUACCUCAUAUUCAUGCACAUGAUUAAAUAAGAUUUCCACAAGUUUAUUCAUUUCAAAGCUCGUAUGCCUCUUAAACUUCUUAUCACUUCAUUCUCAUUUACAAAAACAUAAGCAACAAUAUAUAGCUUUAUUUGAUCCAUUAUUCAUCACAUUUCUAUAGCCGAAAGAAUCAUGUAAAUUAUCGUUAAAUAAUUGUAAUUCUCACUCAAUGUGCCAUAUUCAUAUCAUUAACACAAUCAUUGCUAAUAUCACACAUAUCAUUCAAUUCAUACCUCAUUAUAGCCAGAUAAACACAUAGGUUCUGAACGUACCUGUGUUGCUUAAUUCAAUUGAACUUUCAUUCUUAUCUUAACUUUGCGUGAUGAACCAUUCAGAAUCGUUAAAGAUACUCGGAAGUCUUGUAUAUCACAUACAAUGUCAUAUCUCAGAUAUGGUAUUACAUGUUAUCGCAUAUCGAUGUCAAUAGCCCAGCUAUGGUCUUACAUGAAUCAUAUAUUGAUGCUAAUGUCCCAUACAUGGUCUUACACGAAAUCACAUAACGAUGCCAAUGUCCUAGACAUGGUCUUACAUGUAAUCACAUAUAUCGAUGCUAUAUCCCAUAUAUGGUCUUACACAAAGUCUCAUACAUCGAUGCCAUAGCUCAGCUAUGGUCUUAUACGAAAUCAUGUAAUGCCAUGGUCCAACCACGGUCUUUUCCGCCAAUUCGUCUUUCGUUACGAAACGAUUGUGUUCGAUCCUGCAUUUUUACUUAUUUCAAACAUUUAAUUUAAGCUCCACAAUUAAAUCGAUUAUAUGAAUACAUUCAUAUUAUCAUUCAUCAAUUACAUAAAUAUACACUGAAGUUUGAUUAUAUGAACUUACCUCGAUUGCUAAAACGACAGAACGAAUCGACUGGUCCGAUACUUUAUCUUUUUUCCAAUCUAGAUCCGUAUUUCGCUUUUCUCGAUCUAAAUAUAAUCAAAAUCAGAUUAUUUAAUUAUCUCUCUAUUCAAUUUAAUCCAAAAUUUACCUUAAAUCAUAUUUACACUUUUGCCUCUAUAAUUUCACAUUUUUACAGUUUAGUCAUUAUCACAUAAAAUAACAAUUUCAUGAAAUUAAACACAAAUCCAAGCUAGCCGAAUUUUCCAUAUAUCACUAGCAGCCCAUAUUUUCAAUUUAUUUCACAUUUUAACCACUAAAUUUCCACAUUUCAUACUUUAAUCCAUAAUUGACAUUUUUAUCAAAAAUCACUUUAUAAAAGAUAAAAAUCUAACAUCAAAUAUUCAUAUUUCAUCAAAAACUAUCAAAGAGCUCAAUUAUUCAACAAUGAAAAUUCACAAAAUCUUUAACAAUUUUAGAAACGGAGGUACGAGUUAGCUAGAUUACGAAGCAACGAUAUUAAAAACGUAAAAAUUAUUAAAAACCAAGCAAAAACCACUCACCAAUUUGUCUUCAAAGUUUGGCCAAAUAACAAGCUCUCCCAUGGCUGAUUUUAGGUUGAAAUUUCGGUGAAGAUGGAUAGUGGAAGAAGAUGACACAAUUUGUUUUAUUUAAUUUAAC
rnacentral:lncRNA from 1 species